rnacentral:rRNA from 1 species
AUUGAACGCUGGCGGCAGGCUUAACACAUGCAAGUCGAGCGGGGUGAUGGUGCUUGCACUAUCACUUAGCGGCGGACGGGUGAGUAAUGCUUAGGAAUCUGCCUAUUAGUGGGGGACAACAUCUCGAAAGGGAUGCUAAUACCGCAUACGUCCUACGGGAGAAAGCAGGGGAUCACUUGUGACCUUGCGCUAAUAGAUGAGCCUAAGUCGGAUUAGCUGGUUGGUGGGGUAAAGGCCUACCAAGGCGACGAUCUGUAGCGGGUCUGAGAGGAUGAUCCGCAACACUGGGACUGAGACACGGCCCAGACUCCUACGGGAGGCAGCAGUGGGGAAUAUUGGACAAUGGGGGGAACCCUGAUCCAGCCAUGCCGCGUGUGUGAAGAAGGCCUUAUGGUUGUAAAGCACUUUAAGCGAGGAGGAGGCUCUUUUGGUUAAUACCCAAGAUGAGUGGACGUUACUCGCAGAAUAAGCACCGGCUAACUCUGUGCCAGCCGCCGCAGUAA